rnacentral:hammerhead_ribozyme from 1 species
AUCUAGCUGACGAGUCCCAAAUCGGACGAAAUAUGAGCCCUAGAU